GGGCCAUGGCUCAGGGGCAGCACAUCUGCUUGGGAUGCAGACGGUCCCAGGUUCAAUCCCUGGCAUCUCCA
rnacentral:tRNA from 1 species